UACAGAGGUCCCAAGCGUUGUUCGGAUUCACUGGGCGUAAAGGGUGCGUAGGCGGUCGGGUAAGUCUGAUGUGAAAUCUCACAGCUUAACUGUGAAACUGCAUUGGAUACUAUCCGGCUCGAGGAAUGGAGGGGAGACUGGAAUACUUGGUGUAGCAGUGAAAUGCGCAGAUAUCAGGAGGAACACCGGUGGUGUAAACGGCUUUCUGGACCAUAACUGACGCUGAGGCACGAAAGCGUGGGUAGCAAACAGG
rnacentral:rRNA from 1 species